rnacentral:snoRNA from 1 species
UGUGCCAAGGUGGCAGAGAGGAGAGAGGCCAGGUAAACGCUCAGGGUUCUGACCUGUGAAUGUCUGAAUGAUCAGUCUCCAAGCACU